rnacentral:rRNA from 1 species
UACGGAGGGGGCAAGCGUUGUUCGGAAUUACUGGGCGUAAAGCGCACGUAGGCGGAUUGUUAAGUCGGGGGUGAAAUCCUGGAGCUCAACUCCAGAACUGCCUUCGAUACUGGCGAUCUCGAGUUCGGGAGAGGUGAGUGGAACUGCGAGUGUAGAGGUGAAAUUCGUAGAUAUUCGCAAGAACACCAGUGGCGAAGGCGGCUCACUGGCCCGAUACUGACGCUGAGGUGCGAAAGCGUGGGGAGCAAACAGG